AUUGAACGCUGGCGGCAGGCCUAACACAUGCAAGUCGAGCGGUAGAGAGGAGCUUGCUACUUUGCCGGCGAGCGGCGGACGGGUGAGUAAUGUCUGGGAAACUGCCUGAUGGAGGGGGAUAACUACUGGAAACGGUGGCUAAUACCGCAUAACGUCGCAAGACCAAAGUGGGGGACCUUCGGGCCUCACGCCAUCGGAUGUGCCCAGAUGGGAUUAGCUAGUAGGUGGGGUAAUGGCUCACCUAGGCGACGAUCCCUAGCUGGUCUGAGAGGAUGACCAGCCACACUGGAACUGAGACACGGUCCAGACUCCUACGGGAGGCAGCAGUGGGGAAUAUUGCACAAUGGGCGCAAGCCUGAUGCAGCCAUGCCGCGUGUGUGAAGAAGGCCUUCGGGUUGUAAAGCACUUUCAGCGAGGAGGAAGGCAUCAUACUUAAUACGUGUGGUGAUUGACGUUACUCGCAGAAGAAGCACCGGCUAACUCCGUGCCAGCAGCCGCGGUAACAC
rnacentral:rRNA from 1 species